rnacentral:lncRNA from 1 species
AUCAUCUUUCCUUUGCCCACCGCACCGUCCCUCCCCUGUGCCCUCUUGUUCUGUAAGUAUUUUUAAGUUUUUCAUGAGAUGUCCGUAUUCAUGUCAACUUGACCACCAAUCCACAUGUAUUUAUGCUAUUUCCAUUUUAAAUUCAAGUGAUUAGCACUCCCUAACAAGAACAGGGAGAUUAUUGAUUCCGUAAUGCAGUAUUGAAGGCUCUCUUUCAAGGUAUUAAUUUCAGACAAAAAAAAACACAUUAAAUUGAUUUUAUUAUUUUAAUAUUUAUGAUAGUUUCGGCGCAUAUUUAAUUAUAUAUAUUUUCAUGGGUUUAACCCUAAUCAGAUUUGACAACUAUACAUGCUGUAUACAUAGCUCAUGCUUCGAAUUGAGUGAGCACAUCAAACGGCGAGCAUCUGUGACGAAAGACCAGCAAGAAAGAAAUCUGUGAGGUAAACAAGAACAUGACCAUUGUUUUAUAUGAUGGAGAUCAUCAGAUGUCGUCUGGUGGACCCAUGUUUUCACAUGCAAGACACGUUUCAGGAUCUGAUGCCCUGCACUGCUCACAGCAGUAUGAUCAGAGCCUUGAGUUUUUUUUUUUUUUUUUCCGAUGACUACUGUAUACAUACAUGAUGAUAAUUUAAUUUAAAAAACAAGGACCACUGCAUGCAGCUUCUUUUGGGUUUAAAAAUAUUGUAUUUAACCAUGGAGAUGCAUGUGCUGUGGCGUGCUCAGCUCGCACCUCUAUGCUUGCAUGGAGCUUUGUGGAUGGAUGGAUAGGACUUUGUUUUCUUCCCCACUUAAUUCAUGCUUUAUCCUUGGGAAUAUUAUUGAAUACAAUACCAAAUCCUUCCAUAUCACCCAUGGCGAUCCUGGGAAUGUGUAGUUUUCUUGGCGAAGCCAUCGAUGAUGAGUGCAAGGGGAGGCCGAUGAGGAUAUAUAGGGUGAUGAUCAGCUGCAGGUCAAUGUAUAUUUAAAAGAGCAGCACAGUAACCCUUGAUUAAUUAACCAC